rnacentral:rRNA from 1 species
GAUGAACGCUAGCGGCAGGCCUAACACAUGCAAGUCGAGGGGCAGCAUAAAACAAGCUUGCUUGUUUGGUGGCGACCGGCGCACGGGUGCGUAACGCGUAUGCAACCUACCCUGUACUGGGGGAUAGCCCGGAGAAAUUCGGAUUAAGACCCCAUAGUAUAUAUCAUUCGCAUGUUUGGUAUAUUAAAGGUUACGGUACAGGAUGGGCAUGCGUCCUAUUAGCUAGAGGGUGAGGUAACGGCUCACCAUGGCGAGGAUAGGUAGGGGGACUGAGAGAGUGGUCCCCGACACUGGUACUGAGACACGGACCAGACUCCUACGGGAGGCAGCACUGAGGAAUAUUGGUCAAUGGGCGCAAGCCUGAACCAGCCAUGCCGCGUGCAGGAAGAAGGUCCUAUGGAUUGUAAACUGCUUUUAUUUGGGAAUAAACCUCUUUACGUGUAGAGAGCUGAAGGUACCAAAUGAAUAAGCACCGGCUAACUCCGUGCCAGCCGCCGCGGUAAGAC